rnacentral:rRNA from 1 species
UACGUAGGGGGCGAGCGUUGUCCGGAAUUACUGGGCGUAAAGUGUGCGCAGGCGGCAGAGCAAGUCGAGUGUGAAAGCCCCGGGCUUAACUUGGGAAUUGCGCUCGAAACUACUUUGCUGGAGUGUGGCAGAGGAAGGUGGAAUUCCACGUGUAGCGGUGAAAUGCGUAGAGAUGUGGAGGAACACCAAUGGCGAAGGCAGCCUUCUGGGCCAACACUGACGCUCAUGCACGAAAGCGUGGGGAGCAAACAGG